GCAUCGUUAGUAUAACGGAAUAUUAUGUCUGAUUUCCAAUCAGAAGAUAUGAGUUCGACUCUCAUACGAUGUU
rnacentral:tRNA from 1 species